rfam:Flavobacterium sp. Leaf359 contig_16, whole genome shotgun sequence.
GGGGGAUUAGCUCAGCUGGCUAGAGCGCCUGCCUUGCACGCAGGAGGUCAUCGGUUCGACUCCGAUAUUCUCCA